AUUGAACGCUGGCGGCAUGCUUUACACAUGCAAGUCGAACGGUAACAGGCCGCAAGGUGCUGACGAGUGGCGAACGGGUGAGUAAUGCAUCGGAACGUGCCCAGUCGUGGGGGAUAACGCAGCGAAAGCUGUGCUAAUACCGCAUACGAUCUAUGGAUGAAAGCGGGGGACCGUAAGGCCUCGCGCGAUUGGAGCGGCCGAUGUCAGAUUAGGUAGUUGGUGGGGUAAAGGCAUACCAAGCCAACGAUCUGUAGCUGGUCUGAGAGGACGACCAGCCACACUGGGACUGAGACACGGCCCAGACUCCUACGGGAGGCAGCAGUGGGGAAUUUUGGACAAUGGGCGCAAGCCUGAUCCAGCAAUGCCGCGUGCAGGAAGAAGGCCUUCGGGUUGUAAACUGCUUUUGUACGGAACGAAACGGUCUGGAUUAAUACCCUGGGCUAAUGACGGUACCGUAAGAAUAAGCACCGGCUAACUACGUGCCAGCCGCCGCGGUAAUAC
rnacentral:rRNA from 1 species